rnacentral:rRNA from 1 species
UCCAUAGGUUAAUGAGGCGAACCGGGGGAACUGAAACAUCUAAGUACCCCGAGGAAAAGAAAUCAACCGAGAUUCCCCCAGUAGCGGCGAGCGAACGGGGAGGAGCCCAGAGCCUGAAUCAGCAUGUGUGUUAGUGGAAGCGUCUGGAAAGGCGCGCGAUACAGGGUGACAGCCCCGUACACAAAAGCGCAUGUGCUGUGAGCUCGAUGAGUAGGGCGGGACACGUGGUAUCCUGUCUGAAUAUGGGGGGACCAUCCUCCAAGGCUAAAUACUCCUGACUGACCGAUAGUGAACCAGUACCGUGAGGGAAAGGCGAAAAGAACCCCGGCGAGGGGAGUGAAAAAGAACCUGAAACCGUGUACGUACAAGC